rnacentral:rRNA from 1 species
UACAGAGGUCUCAAGCGUUGUUCGGAUUCAUUGGGCGUAAAGGGUGCGUAGGCGGCGCGGUCAGUCGGGUGUGAAAUCUCGGAGCUUAACUCCGAAACUGCAUACGAUACUGCCGUGCUUGAGGACUGGAGAGGAGACUGGAAUUUACGGUGUAGCGGUGAAAUGCGUAGAUAUCGUAAGGAAGACCAGUGGCGAAGGCGGGUCUCUGGACAGUUCCUGACGCUGAGGCACGAAGGUCAGGGGAGCAAACGGG